AGAUUGAACGCUGGCGGCAUGCCUAACACAUGCAAGUCGAACGGGAGUAGCAAUACUCUAGUGGCGGACGGGUGAGGAAUACGUAGGAAUUUGCCCUUAGGUGGGGGAUAACCCGGGGAAACCCGGAUUAAUACCGCAUGACCUCGAAAGAGCAAAGUGGGGGAUCGCAAGACCUCACGCUUUUGGAGAAGCCUACGUCGGAUUAGCUAGUUGGUGAGGUAAUGGCUCACCAAGGCGACGAUCCGUAACUGGUCUGAGAGGAUGAUCAGUCACACCGGAACUGAGACACGGUCCGGACUCCUACGGGAGGCAGCAGUGGGGAAUAUUGGACAAU
rnacentral:rRNA from 1 species